AAAGGGGCUUCGGCUCUGAGUAGAGUGGCGAACGGGUGAGUAACACGUGGGUGACCUACCUUCGAAUGGGGGAUAACGUCCCGAAAGGGACGCUAAUACCGCAUAACAUCCUGUCUUUGAACAGAUGGAGAUCAAAGCUGGGGAUCGUAAGACCUGGCGUUUGAAGAGGGGCCCGCGUCCGAUUAGCUAGUUGGUGAGGUAACGGCUCACCAAGGCAACGAUCGGUAGCCGGCCUGAGAGGGCGGACGGCCACACUGGGACUGAGACACGGCCCAGACUCCUACGGGAGGCAGCAGUGGGGAAUUGUUCGCAAUGGGCGCAAGCCUGACGACGCAACGCCGCGUGGAGGAUGAAGGUCUUCGGAUUGUAAACUCCUGUUGCCCGGGACGAAACGCCUCGACCUAACACGUCGAGGUUUGACGGUACCGGGUGAGGAAGCCCCGGCUAACUCUGUGCCAGCAGCCGCGGUAAUACAGAGGGGGCAAGCGUUGUUCGGAAUUACUGGGCGUAAAGGGCGCGUAGGCGGCCUUCUAAGUCGAACGUGAAAUCCCCGGGCUCAACCCGGGAACUGCGUCCGAUACUGGAAGGCUUGAAUCCGGGAGAGGGAUGCGGAAUUCCAGGUGUAGCGGUGAAAUGCGUAGAUAUCUGGAGGAACACCGGUGGCGAAGGCGGCAUCCUGGACCGGCAUUGACGCUGAGGCGCGAAAGCCAGGGGAGCAAACGGGAUUAGAUACCCCGGUAGUCCUGGCCCUAAACGAUGAAUGCUUGGUGUGGCGGGUAUCGAUCCCUGCCGUGCCGAAGCUAACGCAUUAAGCA
rnacentral:rRNA from 1 species